rnacentral:tRNA from 1 species
GAGAUUUUAAGUUUAUUAAAACUAACAUCCUUCAAAGCUGUAAAAAAAAGUCGACCCUUUUAAAUCUCG